rnacentral:sRNA from 1 species
GCGGCCGCAGCGGCGGAUCUGGCGGCUGCUGCAGCCCGGGCGGCUGCGGAGAAGGAGGGAGGGGAAACACAAAGCCGGCUACGCGCUGCGAGGCCUUUCGGGAAGACUUGGAAUGCCUUAUUCAAGAACAGAUGAAGAAAGGCCACAACCCAACUGGAUUACUAGCAUUACAGCAGAUUGCAGAUUACAUCAUGGCCAAUUCUUUCUCGGGUUUUUCUUCACCUCCUCUCAGUCUUGGCAUGGUCACACCUAUCAAUGACCUUCCUGGUGCAGAUACAUCCUCAUAUGUGAAGGGAGAAAAACUUACUCGCUGUAAACUUGCCAGCCUGUACAGACUUGUAGACUUGUUUGGAUGGGCACACCUGGCAAAUACCUAUAUCUCAGUAAGAAUAAGUAAGGAG